CCUAAAACCUUAAAAUCUUUCUUCAGGACACUCCAUCUUCCCCUAACUUUGUCAUUGGUACCAACGUGUAUCAUGACAGCUGGGUCUUCCCCAGCUCCACCAAAUAAUCUGUCCAUCCGAUCCGCAAUUUGCCGAACCCGAGCGCCCGGUAAACAUACGGUUUGGCGAUCGCAUUCUUUGUGA